UACGUAGGGGGCAAGCGUUGUCCGGAUUUAUUGGGCGUAAAGAGCUCGUAGGUGGUUUGGUAAGUCGGAUGUGAAAUCUCCAGGCUCAACCUGGAGGGGUCAUUCGAUACUGCCAUGACUAGAGGUCGGUAGGGGAGUGUGGAAUUCCUGGUGGAGCGGUGAAAUGUGUAGAGAUCGGGAGGAACACCGGUGGCGAAGGCGGGUCUCUGGGCAAUUCCUGACGCUGAGGCGCGAAAGCGUGGGGAGCAAACGGG
rnacentral:rRNA from 1 species